rnacentral:rRNA from 1 species
CUGCAGCCCGAGUGGUGACCGAUAUUAUUGAGCCUAAAGCGUCCGUAGCCGGUCUGGUAAAUUCUUGGGUAAAUCGGGCAGCUUAACUGUCCGACUUCCGAGGAGACUGCCAGACUUGGGACCGGGAGAGGUCAGAGGUACUCCAGGGGUAGGGGCUAAAUCCUGUAAUCCUUUGGGGACCACCAGUGGCGAAGGCGUCUGACUAGAACGGAUCCGACGGUAAGGGACGAAACCCUGGGGCGCGAACCGGAUUAGAUACCCGAGUAGUC